GCUGGGUGGUGGAAGACAAGGGUGUCACAUAGUCUGCACUUCAGGUUUCCGUUUCAGAUCUGCCACUCAGAUGACAGGACCAUGAUGCUGAGCAGAUUAUGCUGACUCAAUGUAGCCCAGAAGUGGGCUUCUUCUUCCUUCUUCUUCGGUGUAAGUUUAUCUCCCAUGAAUAUGGUCUUAACAGUGUGUCCGACCGUAGGUGACUGUGGAGGCCAAUUCUGGAUCCACACAUCCUUCCACCGUGGGGACAUAGGUUUCCGGGCAGGAGUUGUUCACUGUAAGGGUUUGCCAAAUGUCUCUUCCUCUUAGCUCAUUUCUCCCCUUUGUCCUGAGUCUGUGCCUCCUCAAAGUCCAUGACGCCUUUGGUAGAGGCUAUUCUCUAAUUGGAGCGCUCGCAGGCCAGUGUUUCCCAGAUGCCAGUGUUUAUAGUACAUUUGCCUUGAGAGCGUUUUUAAACCUCUUUUGUUGUCCACCGGCAUUAUGCUAUCCAUUUUUAAAUUCGGAAUAGAGUAGUUGCUUUGGAAUACGAUAAUCAGAUACUGUAUCUGAACAACAUGACCAGUCCAAUUAAGCUGAUGUUGAAGAAUCAUUACGUUGACACUGGUGAUUUUUGCUUCUUCCAGUACACUGACAUUAGUUUGCCUGUCUUCCCAAGUGAUAAUGUAAUUUUUGUUUUAAGAAACAGUUGAUGGAAUCUUUCAAGGAGUUGGAGAUGACAUUUAUAAGUGGUCCAUGUUUCACAAGCAUACAGUAAGCUUGGUAGUAUAAUAGCUUUGUAAACAAGCAUUUUGGUUUCCCUGCAAAUGUCCCAGUCCACAACCGCUCUGCUCUUCAUGCAGGAGAAAGCUGCACUCACAGAGCUCAGGCGAUGCUGGAUUUUGGCAUCAAUGUCGGUCCUUGUGGAAAGAUAGGUAGGUAGGAAAAAUGAUCAACAUUUUCCAAUGUUACACCAUUAAUUUGGAUUUGUGGAGCACCUGCAUCUCAAGAACCCCCUUGGCCUAAUUUUAUGCAAGUGUGGAGAGCCCUAAGGACAGUGAGGAUCCUAGACAUUUUGCUGCCUGAGACCAAAGACAGGAUGGAACCCCUCCCCACUUCACAUACAGAGGUCAAAUGGACAGACCACCUUUAACAGGGAAAGGGCCACAGCUCAGUGGCAGAGCAUCUGCUUUGCAUCCAGAAGGUAUCAGGGUCAAUCCCUGGCAUCCCCAGGUAGGACUGAGAGGGGCUCCUGACUGAAAUCCUGGGGUGCUGCUGCCAGUCAGUGCAGACAGUACUGAGCUUGAUGAACUUAUGGCUUAUAUUUGUAUAAGGCAGCUGUUACUAUUAGGACUCAUUCUGCUGUGCUUUCACAUCUGGAGUGAGCUAAUUGCACUAAAUGCAGAGAGGCAGCAAAAGUAUCUGCCCUCAGAGGAAACUGCACAUUUAAGGCACAUGGCUUCCCCCAAAUAAUCGUAAGAACUACAGUUUGUUAAGGGUGCUGAGAAUUAUAGCCAGUGAAGGGUGAAGCACAGUUCCUGGGAUUCUUUGGAGGAAGAACUCCUCAGAAUGCUGAUCCUUACGUAGUGAAAGUAGCCCCAUCCACACACAUAAGAGGAAGGUAUUUGUAAGCUUGCAGAAGUACAAAAACUGUCAUAGAAUCAUAGAAUCAUAGAGUUGGAAGAGACCACAAGGGCCAUCGAGUCCAACCCCCUGCCAAGCAGGAAACACCAUCAGAGCACUCCUGACAUAUGGUUGUCAAGCCUCUGCUUAAAGACCUCCAAAGAAGGAGACUCCACCACACUCCUUGGCAGCAAAUUCCACUGUCGAGACAGCUCUUACUGUCAGGAAGUUCUUCCUAAUGUUUAGGUGGAAUCUUCUUUCUUGUAGUUUGGAUCCAUUGCUCCGUGUCCGCUUCUCUGGAGCAGCAGAAAACAACCUUUCUCCCUCCUCUAUGUGACAUCCUUUUAUAUAUUUGAACAUGGCUAUCAUAUCACCCCUUAACCUCCUCUUCUCCAGGCUAAACAUGCCCAGCUCUCUUAGCCGUUCCUCAUAAGGCAUCGUUUCCAGGCCUUUGACCAUUUUGGUUGCCCUCCUCUGGACACGUUCCAGUUUGUCAAUGUCCUUCUUGAACUGUGGUGCCCAGAACUGGACACAGUACUCCAGGUGAGGUCUGACCAGAGCAGAAUACAGUGGCACUAUUACUUCCCUUGAUCUAGAUGCUAUACUCCUAUUGAUGCAGCCCAGAAUUGCAUUGGCUUUUUUAGCUGCCGCGUCACACUGUUGGCUCAUGUCAAGUUUGUGGUCAACCAAGACUCCUAGAUCCCUUUCACAUGUACUGCUCUCAAGCCAGGUGUCCCCCAUCUUGUAUUUGUGCCUCUCAUUUUUUUUGCCCAAGUGCAAUACUUUACAUUUCUCCCUGUUAAAAUUCAUCUUGUUUGUUUUGGCCCAGUUCUCUAAUCUGUCAAGGUCGUUUUGAAGUGUGAUCCUGUCCUCUGGGGUGUUAGCCACCCCUCCCAAUUUGGUGUCAUCUGCAAAUUUGAUCAGGAUGCCCUUGAGUCCAUCAUCCAAGUCGUUGAUAAAGAUAACUGUCAAGUUAAUGCCUAAAGGUGGGGACCUGAAAAACCGUCCAAUGAGGAUUGAGCAUAUUAGUGGUCGUGGAACUGGUGUUUGGGGAAGGGAAAUGGAAUGGAGUAUCCUGAAAGAUGGUAUGCCUGGCUGGCAACCUAAACAGAAGCACUUCACACUGCAAUAGUAUGCUGCCAGUCCCACCAGUCCUGGUUUAAGUGUACCUUCUGUUUUAAUUCCAAGAGAACAGUGUGCCUCAGCAUGCCUCUUAGAAGUCUGAGAAAAGAUGCUUUAACAGCAGCAAAAUGGGGCUCAGUCUCAAGAUUCUCUAGUCCUGACUGAUUCAAGAAGGCUGUUCCCCAAAGCACAUGGGUGAGAAAGGAAGGCAAAGAGGUCAGUCAGCGAAGCAAGAAGCUGCAGCUGAAUCCUCUUUCUCUAAGACCAUUAAAAAAAGAAGUCUGUUCUCCAGGUUGCAACCUAGCAACCUUACAAGCCACAAUUCUACAUUAUUGCUGUAGAUGUCCAUGCUGUUCUACCUCUUCAUUUGAAUCUGAAAUCUUGCCUCCCUGUUCAUUUUUCAUGCAGUCGAUUUCACUCAAGGGGCAGAAUAUGUACAUUUGUUUGCUGGGGUCUGCCUCCUAAAAACAAUGUUAUAUUGCCAAUUAAGAUAAACAUCAUUAAAGGCUACAUUUCCUGGAUCAAUACUGCAAAAACUUUACCAUCUCUGCAACCUGAUUUAAGAACAAGCUUUUCGAAGCCAUGAGAUAUUAUGUCAAAGCAGAGCCCCUUGUAAUAUUUUGGCAUCUCCGUAAUAACCUCAGCUCCUUGCAGUGCUUGAGCAUCAGGUGUGCAUUUGACAAGCCUCUGCAACAGGUUACAUGAAAAAUCAAUGUUUGAUCUUAAGAUUAACAGUGCCAGCAGCAUAAAUAUACCACCUCAAGACAUAAAAUGUGGCAGUGUUAAGCACCUUCAUGCAACUGCCCUUUAUCUCUUCAUUGCAGAAGCCACCAACCUUUUUGGACCAAGAUGCACAUUUUGAGAGCAGUGCCAGAUUAAACCCUGUGGAGGUCCCUAGUCAGUUGAAAUCGCCGGGGGGGGGGGCGGGGAGAGAGAAGCCCUUGCAAAUUCUCUCCUAAUACUCAUGAAUAUUCUACUAGGAUCUGGAGUCAGUGGGAACACAUGACACACUAACUCACAGGAAGCUUUGUACCUGGAGGUUUCGCAUGCUCUCGCUCUAGUGGGAUGACAUUGAACGAAGAAAGUGUGACUUGAUCCGUUGUCAUGGAGCCCCUAAAAGGCAGGGGGCCCAUAGGCUGGUGCCUAAUCUGCCUUUUUGGUAAUCUGGCACUGUUUGAGAGUGUCGUGGGGGCAGCAGUCACAAAAUGGCUCUCAUGGGUGUGUGGCGAAAUGCAAAAUUAGAGAAAGCACAAUCGCAGUGAACAUUUCCCCGUAAUUAUAUUUCCAUGUAAGUAAAGGCUUAAACUGUUGAAUUUCUGCCCAGGAAACUCUACAUCUAGAAAAUCUGCCGAGGAACCUGAGUCGAUGAGGGUUCUGCAUCCUGCGCCCAUCUGGGAACUGUAGCAGCGUGAGUCUAGGAAUAGCCAGGGGUGGUGGAGGCCCUGCAACUGGCCCCUUUUGCAGUCCUGGGGUCCUCACGGGAAUUGAACAUUAGGAAAUUCUGUAGGUAGAAUGAAUUUGGCAGUGUAAUGGGUGCAUGUUGCUCUUUUGCAUAAGAUACACACAUUUGUCGGAUGUUGGAUUUCAAACACACACACACACACCCCUCUAGACCUGAUUCUUGAGGGCCUCUUAUCUUAGGGAAAAUUUGCAUGUCUGCUUAAUUUUGCUGGUACAGUGUGCUCCUCCCCACGUGAAAGACAGUGAAUGUGUUUAUCUACUGUAACAUGCUUCCACCUACCAGGAAUGUCACUACAGCUAACCAUAGUACAUCCACUAUUCUCCUGUGUUUACAUGUGUGCAGCACUGUAUGUUGGGAAGAACCACACAAAAAUAAGCUUAAAACCAAACUAUGUGAUCAAAAGCAAGCAGUGGCAGAGGGAAACUGAACAAGAACAAAUGGAAGUUAAAGCAGGAUCCAUUCAAAUGAGAAAUAAGGCACCAAUUGUCACCAGUGAGAGCAAUUAAUCAUCAAGACAAGCUGCCAUUGGCUGGAGGAAGCGAAGAGAGAAUAGUUCCCCUUAACUUGAAGCCUUCUGGUGAAUUAUAGACUCCCUCCAUAAAACUAGAAACAAAUGUAGUAGGUUGAUUUAGUAAUAAGCAAAAGGAAUUCCCAAGCAUGUAGGAGAAAGAAAGGGAGAGAAGACUGUCUCAAGGGGAUUAUUUGCCGUUUUGACCAUUAAUCUAAAAGAUGAGGAGAAAAUUGGGGGAGUGGGCAGGGAACGAGAACAAUGCUGCCGAGAGAUGCUCCCAGUCAUGCGAUUUGUGUUGUAUUCCAAAUUUUAUAUGCAGAUUCCUCCUCCCCC